rnacentral:rRNA from 1 species
GCUGGUAGCGUGGAUUAGGCAUGCAAGUCGAACGGCAUCGGUGUUGUAGCAAUACAAUUACCGUGAGAGUGGCGAAAGGGCGAGUAACGCAUGGGUAAUCUACCCUCGAGCUGGGGAUAACGCCGUGAAAACGGCGCUAAUACCGAAUGUGGCUCUCCGGGGCAUCCCGGGGAAGCUAAAGGCGGGGACCGCAAGGCCUGCCGCUCAAGGAGGAACCCGUGUGCCAUCAGCUUGUUGGCGAGGUAACGGCUCACCAAGGCUUACGGCUAGCUGGUCUGAGAGGACGACCAGCCGCACUGGGACUGAGACACUGCCCAGACUCCUACGGGAGGCUGCAGUCGAGGAUCAUUCGCAAUGGGCGAAAGCCUGACGAUGCGACGCUGCGUGGAGGAUGACGGCCUUCGGGUUGUAAACUCCUGUCAUGAGGGGAAAAGGUGCCGGGUGUUAAUAGCAUUCGGCCUCGAUAGUACCUCAAGAGGAAGCCACGGCUAACUCUGUGCCAGCAGCCGCGGUAAUACAGAGGUGGCGAGCGUUGUUCGGAUUUACUGGGCGUAAAGGGCGCGUAGGCCGUUUGGUAUGUCGAGUGUGAAAUCUCCAGGCUCAACCUGGAAAGUGCGCUCGAAACUGCCGGACUAGAGCAUGGUAGGGGAGAGCGGAAUACACGGUGUAGCGGUGAAAUGCGUUGAUAUCGUGUAGAACACCGGUGGCGAAGGCGGCUCUCUGGAACAUUGCUGACGCUGAGGCGCGAAAGUUGGGGGAGCAAACAGGAUUAGAUACCCUGGUAGUCCUAACUGUAAACGGUGUGCACUGGACGUGGAGGGAUUUCACCCCCUCCGUGUCGAAGCUAACGCGUUAAGUGCACCGCCUGGGGAGUACGGCCGCAAGGUUAAAACUCAAAGAAAUUGACGGGGGCCCGCACAAGCGGAGGAGCAUGUGGCUUAAUUCGAUGCCACGCGAAGAACCUUACCUGGGUUUGACAUGCAGCUGCACGUCCUAUGAAAGUAGGAUUCCUUCGAGGGUGCUGCACAGGUGCUGCAUGGCUGUCGUCAGUUCGUGCCGUGAGGUGUUUGGUUAAGUCCAGCAACGAACGCAACCCCUGUGAUUAGUUGCCACCGGGUCAUGCCGGGCACUCUAAUCAGACUGCCUGUAUACGCAGGAGGAAGGUGGGGACGACGUCAAGUCAGUAUGGCCCUUACAUCCAGGGCUGCACACGUGCUACAAUGGCCGUUACAAAGGGAAGCAAGACCGCGAGGUGGAGCCAAUCCCUAAAAGCGGCCUCAGUUCAGAUUGCAGUCUGCAACUCGACUGCAUGAAGUUGGAUUCGCUAGUAACGGGGCAUCAGCUACGGCCCCGUGAAUACGUUCCCGGGCCUUGUACACACCGCCCGUCACAUCAUGAAAGCCGUCUGCACCCAAAGCCAGUGUACUAACCCGCAAGGGCAGAAGCUGUCUAAGGUGUGGGUGGUGAUUGGGAUGAAGUCGUAACAAGGUA